rnacentral:rRNA from 1 species
UUUCUCCGCCGGCGACCGGCGCACGGGUGAGUAACACGUAUGCAACCUGCCCCUGUCAGGGGGACAACCCGCCGAAAGGCGGGCUAAACCCCGCGUACAUGCCACCGGGGCAUCCCGGAGGCAGGAAAGGCUUCGGCCGGACAGGGAUGGGCAUGCGGCGCAUUAGGCAGUAGGCGGGGUAACGGCCCACCUAACCGACGAUGCGUAGGGGUUCUGAGAGGAAGGUCCCCCCACACUGGUACUGAGACACGGACCAGACUCCUACGGGAGGCAGCAG